AACGAACGCUGGCGGCAGGCCUAACACAUGCAAGUCGAGCGAACCUUCGGGUUAGCGGCGGACGGGUUAGUAACGCGUGGGAACGUGCCCUUCUCUACGGAAUAGCCCAGGGAAACUUGGAGUAAUACCGUAUACGCCCUUUGGGGGAAAGAUUUAUCGGAGAAGGAUCGGCCCGCGUUGGAUUAGGUAGUUGGUGGGGUAAUGGCCUACCAAGCCGACGAUCCAUAGCUGGUUUGAGAGGAUGAUCAGCAACACUGGGACUGAGACACGGCCCAGACUCCUACGGGAGGCAGCAGUGGGGAAUCUUAGACAAUGGGGGAAACCCUGAUCUAGCCAUGCCGCGUGAGUGAUGAAGGCCUUAGGGUUGUAAAGCUCUUUCAGCUGGGAAGAUAAUGACGGUACCAGCAGAAGAAGCCCCGGCUAACUCCGUGCCAGCCGCCGCCGUAA
rnacentral:rRNA from 1 species